rnacentral:lncRNA from 1 species
CCUAAACAUAGCUAGCUAGGUUAUAAUUAUAUAGGGGUUGGGGUGGGGGACCUUCAAUCAAUCACUAGUCAUUCAUCCCCUCUCUCUCUCUUUCUAUACUAUCUAUCUAUCUAUCUCAUUUCUUUUCCUUUUUAUCACAGCAAAACUUUUGCUAGGGUUUCUGUGAUUGAACCUGUAUGUAUUUACUUCCUUGAGAGUUGAGAUAACAAAAGAUUCCUUGUUUCCUUCCAAGAAUACUAUUCAUUUUUGUCAGGUACAAUUACUUACUUUCAGUACUAACUUUCUAUUUAUGGAAAAUAACAAUAGUUUUAAUCCACUUGUAUAUUAACCUUUGGUUCAUUAACUAGAUCUCAUCAAUAUAUAUUUUCUGUCUCUAUUUCAGUUCAUUCAUUCAGAUCUCAUUUAUUUAUCAGAAUGGUGAGAGGA